CGGAAGAUUUUGCGACGCGAUGCGACGCGCACCUCAAGUUUGGACGUUCUGGAGCGUCUCUUCGCACGAACUUUCUGAGAAGAAGCCAUAGGAAAGGAUCGAGGAGUCGCUACCGUCGGUACGGAGAAAUGGCAAAGGCGCGUCGCAAGUACGUGCCAUUAAGCCCAGAAGAGGUCGACGAUGACGAGGAAGACACGGUGGACGUGUUGGAGGAGCGGAGACGGAGCAGCGACGUAGCCCACGCCCUCCGGACCUUCACGCCCCGCCCCGAUUUCCCCGCCGGGCAACUCGACGCGGCCGUACUGGCCUCCCGACGCGUACGGCGAGCCAUGGACGAGGUCGCCGCGGAGACCGGGUCGCCUCCUUCGGCGGUGAGAGAGCGGGUCGACGCCAUUCUGCGGGAGAUGUCGCAAAACCUGCGGCUACCUUUUGUGCGCGCGAUGGGCUUCGUGCUCAGCAAAGUGCUCAAGCGCCUCUUCUCUAACAUCUACAUCAACACGGACGCUCUCCGCAAGCUUAGGCGCGCGGCAGAGGAGGGCCCCGUGGUGCUGCUACCCAACCACAGGAGCUACCUGGACUUCCUGCUCAUCUCCUACAUCUUCUUCACCUACGACGUCCCGCUACCCGUCAUUGCUUCUGGACUGGCUCUGGCCAGGAUGAAGUUCAUGGGCGAGUGGCUACGUCGCUGCGGAGCGUUCUACAUCCGACGCAGCAUCGCCUCCGACGGGUUGUACAGCACGGUCCUGUCGGAAUACGUCAGAAGUCUGGUCAGGACGCGGUUCGCUCCGGUGGAAUUUUACAUUGAAGGAUUUCGGAGUCGCUCGCUAAAAUCCUUGAAGCCCAAAUUAGGUAUGUUGCGCAUGGUGCUGGAUCCUUACUUUGAAGGCGAGGUGCACGACGUGACCCUGGUUCCCGUUAGCUUGAGCUACGAUCGACUAGUGGAGGAGUCCCUGCUAGCCCGCGAGCUACUGGGAAUCCCUAAACCCAAAGAGAGCACCGCGGGUCUGCUGAAGGCCGCCGGGGUUUUGCGCCAGGAUUACGGACGCGCCCACGUUUACUUCGGCCGGCCCGUGUCGGCCCGGCGACUUUUCGGAGGGGAGGCGGAGCCGCUCGUGGACGUACGACUUCCCGGAAGCCCCCUGGAAGAGGAGGAGGAGAAGAAGCGUGCCGGCGUGAACGUACUGGCGCACGUGAUGGUCGGAAACCAAGAACGAGGUUGCUUCGUCAGCCCUUGGUCCCUCAUGUCCCACGUGCUGCUCCGGCGGCCGCCCUCGCUCCUAAGUCGAACGGGCCUGCCUUGGUCGCGACUCGCCGAAGAGACGCUGUGGCUCAAGCGGCUGGCCCUCCGUUUCGGGGCGCGCCUCAACUGGCCCGGCGACGUCCCCGACGGGGAGGUGAUGUCAUCGGCCGUGGCCCUCCAUCGCACUUCGGUACGCCUGGAAGGGGAGCGCGUCUUCCUGGUGGCGGACGAGGGGCUGGCGACGGCCACCUUGAUGAUGGCGUCCUACCGCAACCAGUCGCUGCACGUUUUCACGCGGCCCGCGCUUCUGGCCGCGGCCCGGAGCCUCGCCGGGAGCGGCCGGAGAGGCGAGACCUUUGCGUACUUCCGCUUCCUCCGGGACCUCUUCGGAAGCGAAUUCAUCUUUGUUCCCGGCAAAGCCGCCGAGGAUUUUGAAGAAGCGCGCUCCCUCCUGGAGAAAUGCGGCGCCCUCGACAUCGUCGUCGACCGGGAAGCGAGGUCGUCCCGCGACGCGGCGGAGGUCCUGUCCUUCCUGCGGGCGCUUUUUCAACCCUUCGUCGACUCGUAUUCUGUGGCGUUGAGGUUCCUCGGCGAGAGGGACGCCAUCACGGAGAAAGACUUCCUGGCCGCCGCUAGGAGUCUGGUCGGCGAGCUCAUCGCCUCGGGUGAGCGAUCCUCCGAGGCGUCGUUCCCUAAAGCGGUGUUUUUCAACCUUUUCUGAGUCGCGGCACAUUUUUACAUUGAAAAAAAUCUCGCGGCACACCACAAACCAACAAUGUUCCAAAAUUACUUUCUGUACAGUAUAUUUAUUUUAGGGCUGUCAAACGAUUUAAAUUUUUAAUCGAGUUAAUUACAGCUUAAAAAUGAAUUAAUCGUAAUUAAUCACAAUUCAAACCAUCUCUAAAAUAUGCCAUAUUCAGUAAAUUAUUGUUGGAAUGGAAAGAUAAGACACAAGACGGAUAUAUACAUUCAACAUACGGUACAUAAGUACUGUAAUUGUUUAUUAUAACAAUAACUCAACAAGAUGGCAUUAACAGUAUUAACAUUCUGUUAAAGCGAUCCAUGGAUAGAAAGACUAGUUCUUAAAAGAUAAAUGUUAGUACAAGUUAUAGAAAUUUGAUAUUAAAACCCCUCUUAAUGUUUUCGUUUUAAUAAAAUUUGUAAAAUUUUCAAUCAAAAAAUUAACUAGUAGCCCACCAUUGUUGAUGUCAAUAAUUACCCAAUGCUCAUGGGUGCCGAAGCCCAUAAAAUCAGUCACACCAAAGCGCCAGCUGAGGGCAACAAAACUCCAAAAAACACUGUGCUGUCAUUUUAAUCUGUUUGAAUGGGGCAUGUGCGUUAACUAGCACCCGUUAUUUAUUUAUAAAAUAGUUUCUCAAUAUUUAUACUUACUCAGUGUGAAACCUGAGCCUGUUUGGAUGAAUUCAAAGCUGAUAUCCUGGCAGGAAUCAGCUGCUCAGAAUUAUCAGACAGCUGGACUUUAGCAAUGCAGGUAGUAUUAAGGGGAUCCUCCAUCUUUAAGACAAGUAAUUCUUACAAGAUAAAUGUUAGUAUGAGUUAUAAUAAUUUGAUAUUAAAACCCCUCUUUAUGUUUUAAUAAAGUUUGUAAAAUUACUUUAAGUGAUAGGUCGCCAUUCUUGUUACGUCGCAGUGCGUGAGGUCACCGGGCCCGUUGCCGAACUUCCAGCGUGUCACGCGUUAGCUACGUCCACAUGUCGUCGGUUUUGCCCUUUCUAUUUGAACUAGAUCUGAAAAGUGAAGAGCAGGACAGCAUUGUCGGUCGUUCACAAGACGAGCAUCAAAGGCAAAAUGUGGUGCAGCAAAUACCUGAUAAGACAAGAGUUGGGCAAAACUGGUGAUGCACUCGUGGACAGUGCGUCUCAAUGACAACAGGGCAAGAGAGUGUAUGCUGUUGCGAACUCCGGUUUUUGUUCGCAAAUCUUCCAGGCCGCCUCCGGACCUACGAGGCCCUGUCGUCGGACGUCCUGAAGAACGUCCUGUCGGGCCUCCGCGGGAUGGCGGCGCUGACAAAGUCCGAGGCGUCAGAGAAGGAGUACACGGUGGACCGUGACGCCGUCACAAGAAUACAAC